rnacentral:tRNA from 1 species
GUACCCGUAGCUCAAUCGGAUAGAGCAUCAGUUUGCGGAACUGAAGGUUGCCGGUUCGAUUCCGGCCGGGUACGCCA